GGGGCUGACUGGUUUUGACAGCAAGGAUGAUGGAUUUGUAAGCAUGCCGGGGAAUGCAGAUUGUCCCGUAAAAACGUUCUGUGAAACUAUAAUUGGCGAAAAUAAUUUUGCUCUCGCUGCGUAAUCGAAGUUUAGUAGAUAGCGCUUCAUCGCCGGCCCAGGGCUGGUGACGAGACACUCCGCGGAUGGAUCUGCCUGAUUCCGGUUCGGUUCUGGGGUGCUCGCAAUUUCAGGCUGCAUGCCGUGAUUCCCUGACACGGCAUUAAGACUAAGGGAUACGGUGAAACUUGGGUGACUGUUUCCGGGUUUCUCCCGACAACCAAUAAUAGUCUAAGCAUGUAGAAAGCACUUUUGUCACUUGUUUGGACGCGGGUUCGACUCCCGCCAGCUCCACUU
rnacentral:tmRNA from 1 species